rnacentral:rRNA from 1 species
GUGACCUGCGGAGGNCAUUAANGAUUGCGAAUGGUUGCCUUCGGUGAGAGCUCUUGCAAGUGCACGUUGGUGGCUUUCAUCCAAUACCCCUGUGAACCUUUGGCCUCUUGCUAGCUUCGGCUGGCAGAGGAUUUUUACACACUCGAAUGUAAUGAAAACUAUUGUCGUGCGCAAGCACUAAUGUACAACUUUCAACAACGGAUCUCUUGGCUCUCGCAUCGAUGAAGAACGCAGCGAAAUGCGAUAAGUAAUGUGAAUUGCAGAAUUCAGUGAAUCAUCGAAUCUUUGAACGCACCUUGCACCCUUUGGUAUUCCGAAGGGUAUGCUCGUUUGAGUGUCAUUGUACUCUCACACUCUCUGAUCCUUUGGAUUCAGGGAGCGGUGGACUUGGGUGUUUGCUGCUUUCCUGGUGGCUCACCUCAAAUGCGUUAGUGCACCUCUUGGUUGGACAUAGUACGGCGUGAUAAGUAUCUUCGCCGGCACCUCGCGAGAGGGUGGCCGAUUGGGAGCUCUGUGCUUUCAAACCGUCUUCGGACACUCUUGACAACUUGACCUCAAAUCGAGUAGGACUACCCGCUGAACUUAAGCAUAUCAAUAAGCGGAGGAAA